rnacentral:rRNA from 1 species
CCUACGGGAGGCAGCAGUAGGGAAUCUUCCACAAUGGGCGAAAGCCUGAUGGAGCAACGCCGCGUGGGUGAAGAAGGUCUUCGGAUCGUAAAACUCUGUUGUUAGAGAAGAAAGUGCGUGAGAUUAACUGUUCACGUUUCACCGGUAUCUAACCAGAAAGCCCCGGCUAACUACGUGCCAGCAGCCGCGGUAAUACGUAGGUGGCAAGCGUUAUCCGGAUUUAUUGGGCGUAAAGGGAACGCAGGCGGUCUUUUAAGUCUGAUGUGACAGCCUUCGGCUUAACCGGAGUAGUGCAUUGGAAACUGGGAGACUUGAGUGCAGAAGAGGAGAGUGGAACUCCAUGUGUAGCGGUGAAAUGCGUAGAUAUAUGGAAGAACACCAGUGGCGAAAGCGGCUCUCUGGUCUGUAACUGACGCUGAGGUUCGAAAGCGUGGGUAGCAAACAGGAUUAGAUACCCUAGUAGUC